GUAACAAGGUCUCCGUAGGUGAACCUGCGGAGGGAUCAUUACACAAAUAUGAAGGCGGGCUGGAACCUCUCGGGGGUUACAGCCUUGCUGAAUUAUUCACCCUUGUCUUUUGCGUACUUCUUGUUUCCUUGGUGGGUUCGCCCACCACUAGGACAAACAUAAACCUUUUGUAAUUGCAAUCAGCGUCAGUAACAAAUUAAUAAUUACAACUUUCAACAACGGAUCUCUUGGUUCUGGCAUCGAUGAAGAACGCAGCGAAAUGCGAUAAGUAGUGUGAAUUGCAGAAUUCAGUGAAUCAUCGAAUCUUUGAACGCACAUUGCGCCCUUUGGUAUUCCAAAGGGCAUGCCUGUUCGAGCGUCAUUUGUACCCUCAAGCUUUGCUUGGUGUUGGGCGUCUUGUCUCUAGCUUUGCUGGAGACUCGCCUUAAAGUAAUUGGCAGCCGGCCUACUGGUUUCGGAGCGCAGCACAAGUCGCACUCUCUAUCAACAAAGGUCUAGCAUCCAUUAAGCCUUUUUUCAACUUUUGACCUCGGAUCAGGUAGGGAUACCCGCUGAACUUAAGCAUAUCA
rnacentral:rRNA from 1 species